rnacentral:rRNA from 1 species
CCUACGGGAGGCAGCAGUGGGGGAUAUUGGACAAUGGGGGGAACCCUGAUCCAGCGACGCCGCGUGAGUGAAGAAGUAUCUCGGUAUGUAAAGCUCUAUCAGCAGGGAAGAAGAAAUGACGGUACCUGAGUAAGAAGCCCCGGCUAACUACGUGCCAGCAGCCGCGGUAAUACGUAGGGGGCAAGCGUUAUCCGGAAUUACUGGGUGUAAAGGGAGCGUAGACGGUGAUGUAAGUCUGGAGUGAAAGGCGGGGGCCCAACCCCCGGACUGCUCUGGAAACUAUGUGACUGGAGUGCAGGAGAGGUGAGCGGAAUUCCUAGUGUAGCGGUGAAAUGCGUAGAUAUUAGGAGGAACACCAGUGGCGAAGGCGGCCUGCUGGACAAUAACUGACGCUGAGGCGCGAAAGCGUGGGGAGCAAACAGGAUUAGAUACCCUAGUAGUC